rnacentral:rRNA from 1 species
UACGUAGGGGGCAAGCGUUGUCCGGAAUCAUUGGGCGUAAAGAGCUCGUAGGCGGUGUGUCGCGUCGGCCGUGAAAACCUGGGGCUUAACUCUGGGCGUGCGGUCGAUACGGGCAUCACUGGAGUUCGGCAGGGGAGACUGGAAUUCCUGGUGUAGCGGUGAAAUGCGCAGAUAUCAGGAGGAACACCGGUGGCGAAGGCGGGUCUCUGGGCCGAUACUGACGCUGAGGAGCGAAAGCGUGGGGAGCGAACAGG